GACGAACGCUGGCGGCGUGCUUAACACAUGCAAGUCGAACGAAGUGGCGAACGGGUGAGUAACGCGUAAUCAACCUGCCCUUCAGAGGGGGACAACAGUUGGAAACGACUGCUAAUACCGCAUACUGAAGGGGGGGAUUGCGUCUGAUUAGGUAGUUGGAGGGGUAACGGCCCACCAAGGCGACGAUCAGUAGCGGGUCUUAGAGGAUGAUCCGCCACACUGGGACUGAGACACGGCCCAGACUCCUACGGGAGGCAGCAGUGGGGAAGUUUGGACAAUGGGCGCAAGCCUGAUCCAGCCAUGCCGCGUGUCUGAAGAAGGCCUUCGGGUUGUAAAGGACUGUUGUCAGGGAAGCGGUACCUGAAGAAUAAGCACCGGCUAACUACGUGCCAGCAGACGCGGUAAUAC
rnacentral:rRNA from 1 species